rnacentral:sRNA from 1 species
AGCAGCCGCGGUAAUUCCAGCUCCAAUAGCGUAUAUUAAAGUUGCUGCAGUUAAAAAGCUCGUAGUUGAAUUUCGGGACUAAUAUGUCGGUCGUGCCUCGGUACGUACUGGCUUAUUGGUUUCUCCUUUCUGAAGAACCAUGAUGUCAUUUAUUUGGUGUCGUGGGGAAUCAGGACUGUUACUUUGAAAAAUUAGAGUGUUUAAAGCAGGCUCACGCUUGAAUACAUUAGCAUGGAAUAAUGAAAUAGGACGUUUGAUUCUAUUUUGUUGGUUUCUAGGAUCGACGUAAUGAUUAAUAGGGAUAGUUGGGGGCAUUAGUAUUCAAUUGUCAGAGGUGAAAUUCUUGGAUUUAUUGAAGACUAACUACUGCGAAAGCAUUUGCCAAGGAUGUUUUCAUUAAUCAAGAACGAAAGUUAGGGGAUCGAAGACGAUCAGAUACCGUCGUAGUCUUAACCAUAAACUAUGCCGACUAGGGAUCGGAUGAUGUUAAUUUUUUAAUGACUCAUUCGGCGCCUUACGG